AUGAGAAGAAAGGAGAGCGGCUUGAUGGCACGUUGGCAUGUUCAAAAGAGCUUGAAUAUGGCCAAUACUUGGAAGGUGGAAUACCAUGGGUUAAGGAACAUGCAUGGCCUCAUCUUUGUGCUUAUUGGUGCUAAAAAAACGCCAUGUGGCAUUCCCCAUGGGCGACUAGCAAUAGCGAAUGGGGCAAUUAAGAAGGCCGAUGUUAUCUCAACAUCUAGAGAGAAGAAACUGAGGCUGUCAACUUCAGCAUCACUUCGACGAACUAUUCAAGAAAAGGAAGAACUGAAGCGACGAGCUAUAAGAAAACGAAGAACUGAAGCGACAUAA
rnacentral:rRNA from 1 species